GUGGUAUUUGAGUAUAAGAUUAUGACCAAUAGGGACAUGAUAGAAGUAGCAUAAAGAAUUCAAACUUUGGAUUUGGACCAAUAGAUAUUAUGAUGAAUUUUAUGUAUAAGUGGCAUAUGAUGUGUAUAACAGAAUUGAUGAGUUAUAUCUCAUAUUUCAAUAAGUAGAGUUUCACCUAAGCAUGAGAGGUGUUGAUCCUAAAAUA
rnacentral:lncRNA from 1 species